rnacentral:misc_RNA from 1 species
GAACGCACAUUGCGCCCCUUGGUAUUCCAUUGGGCAUGCCUGUUCGAGCGUCAUUUAACCCCUCAAGCACUGCUUGGUGUUGGGCGUUUGUCUGCGUAACUAACGCGGACUCGCCCCAAAAUAAUUGGCAGCGGCUUGCCGGCCUCUUGCGCAGCACUUUGCGCUCCUUGAGGAUCCGUCGGGCUUGCGUCCAUCAAGAUCACCCCCAUUUUGACCUCGAAUCAGGUAGGGAUACCCGCUGAACUUAAG